CACAGGAUAGUUAGUGAGGUGCUAAUUGGAUAAUGUGGUGAGAAACAGAGCUAAGUACAGAGGAAGGGCAAGAGGCUUAGAUAACUAGAACAAAUGUGAGUGCUGAGCUGUAGGAACAGAUAUAAGAGGGGAAAAAAUGGACUCAAACUAUGUUUGAUGUAGUAAAUCAUUACACUGGGAGAAUCAAAGGAAACAGAAAAGACUGAGUGCUGCUAGAACUAGUACUGAAACUGCCAGGCUGGACCAGGCUGAUGAAACUCCUUUGCUAAAACACAGAGAAAAACAACUACAUGGUUCUUUCAGAAAGCAAGCCAAGAAAGCCAAUGAGGCAUCGCCAAAAGACACAUCCUUCUGCUUUCUAUUCUGUGCCUGUCUUUUCCUGGGAACUAUUGUAAAGAAACCCAAGCAUGCCCCAGCAAGACUUGCUACACUCUGAUGCCAGUGCCAGGAUCUGGCACUCCCUACAGCCUGUUACCUGCACCCCUGGACAUUUCCAUGGCAGCUCUGUUUGUGUUGCCACAUCCUUUCUGACACACACAGGGGACUUGCCACCCUGCUGAGUGGAAACCAUUCCUGAACUUUCUACUUGAGCUGAUGACUGCACCUUUGUGUUCACCCUGCCUGUGUGAGCUUCCAUGCAAACCUCACACCACCUUGACUGACACUGCUGAGUAUGGGAACCCUUUCGCCUGAGCUAAAACUUGCCCUAGACUUACCCCAAAUGUGGAUGCUGCCACCUUGCUGGCUGACCAACCAUUCAUGUGAAUGACCCAUACAUUCAUCAGGACCUUAGUUGUAAUGCUCUGAAUUCUCUCUUUCCUGAGAGAAAAGGAGCUUCUGGAACAUUUGGAGUCCCGUCAGAAGAUGCAGGGAAGGACUCAAAAUUCCACUGCCUGACUGAGAUGAUUGGAUAAAAAAAUACUCCCAAAAAUACAUAAAAUAAAAGGACACAAAACUAACAGAAACCUGCCCCAUAAAACAUUUUUCACAAGCAUGAAAUUUCAAUGGCAAAUAUUACCAUUUCUUCUCAACCCUCUAAGUGUUUUCACUCUAAACAGACCUAUAUAUUUGCAGGAGCCAUGGUUCUGGCACAUCACAUUCCUAAUUUCAUUUCUGGGAUUAAUUCCCUGACAUCGUGCAUCAUAGUACUCAGUCUUGAUAGGAGGAGGUAAUGCAUCAAAUAUGAGCUGAACAUCUGUCAUACAUUAGGGGAGAUGAAGUCCUGGAGAUCUUCCUUGCUGUUUGUCAUGGUUUCACUGCAGCCAUCCACCAAGCACCAGGCCACUCACUCACUCUCCUGCCAGAAGGAUCAGGGACAGAUUUGGAAGGGUAAAACGUGAAAACGUGGGAUGAGAUAAAGCCGAGCACAAAAGGAAAACAAAGGCUUAAUUCAUGGCUUCUCAUGACCAGGCAGAUGUUCAGGCAUCUCCAGGAGAGCAGGGCCUCAUCACAAAUAGGAGUUAUUUGUGAAGACAUAUGCCAUCACUCCAAAUAUCCUUCCUCUUCCUCCUUCUGUCCCCUGCUUUAUACACUGAGCAUGAUCUCAUAUGGUUUGGAAUAUGCCUUUGGUCAGUUUGGGUCCCCUUGUCCUGCCUAUGUCUCCUCCCAGCCACCCAUGUACCCCCAACUUCCUCACCAGUGUGGCAGUAUGGAAAAGAGAGAAGGCCUUGGGUCUGUGUAAGCCCCACUCACCAACAGCCAAAAGAUCUCUAUAUUAUCAACCCUGUGUUGAGCACAAAUCCAAAACAGUCACAUACCAGCCCUUGUGAAGAAAGUUAACUCUACCCCAGCCAAAACCAGUUCACUGUUUAAUAGAAAGAGAGCAAAAGUCACAGGAACUAAUGCUGCUGUGACAGCUAGGGUGAUUUCAUUUAACCUGAUUAGAGAGAUCUGCAAUGUAGAUGGCCACAUUUGAACUAGGCAUCCCGGCUUUAUUUGUACCUAAAGGGACAGAAAUGAGCACCUUUAGAGUGAG